rnacentral:rRNA from 1 species
UACGGAGGAUGCGAGCGUUAUCCGGAUUUAUUGGGUUUAAAGGGUGCGUAGGCGGGAUGCCAAGUCAGCGGUAAAAAUGCGGUGCUCAACGCCGUCGAGCCGUUGAAACUGGCGUUCUUGAGUGGGCGAGAAGUAUGCGGAAUGCGUGGUGUAGCGGUGAAAUGCAUAGAUAUCACGCAGAACUCCGGUUGCGAAGGCAGCAUACCGGCGCCCUACUGACGCUGAGGCACGAAAGCGUGGGUAUCGAACAGG